UUAACUGAAACCAAAGAGAGGUAUAUUAUUGUUAAUAAUAACACUGAAUUAAAGCAUUCCAGUUAAA
rnacentral:tRNA from 1 species